rnacentral:tRNA from 1 species
AGUGUAGUAGUUAAAUAAUAACAUUAAAUUGCAAAUUUAAUAUCGUAUAAGUAGUACCUUCACUU